UACGGGGGGGAGCAAGCGUUGUUCGGAUUUACUGGGCGUAAAGGGCGCGUAGGCGGUCGUGACAAGUCACUUGUGAAAUCUCCGGGCUUAACUCGGAACGGUCAAGUGAUACUGUCGGACUAGAGUACAGAAGGGGCAACUGGAAUUCUCGGUGUAGCGGUGAAAUGCGUAGAUAUCGAGAGGAACACCUGCGGCGAAGGCGGCGACCUGGGUAGAUACUGACGCUGAGGUGCGAAAGCGUGGGGAGCAAACAGG
rnacentral:rRNA from 1 species